ACGAACGUUGGCGGCGUGGAUUAGGCAUGCAAGUCGGGCGAGGACCAUUUGAGUAGCAAUACUUAGAUGGAGCCGAGCGGCGUAAGGGGCAGUAAUACCUGGGGACGUACCCUCUCGUCGGGGAUAGCUACGGGAAACUGUAGGGUAAUACCCGAUGAUUCCGGGAGGACAAAGGCUUGCCGCGGGAGGAGCGGCCCAGGCGCUAUUAGCUAGUUGGCGGGGUGGGGUAACGGCCCACCAAGGCGAAGAUGGCUAGCGGGUGUGAGAGGCACGACCCGCGCCACUGGCACUUGAGACACUGGCCAGACACCUACAGGGUGGCUGCAGUCGAGGAUCUUCGGCAAUGGGGCGCAAGCCUGACCUGAGCGACGCCGCGUGCGGGAUGAAAGGCCCUCGGGUUGUAAACCGCUUUGGUCCGGGAAUAAGGCCGAGCAUCGGCUUGAAUGACCGGAGAAAACAAGCACGGGCUAAGUUCGUGGCCAGCAGCCGCGGUAAGACGAACCGUGCGAACGUUGUUCGGAAUCACUGGGCUUAAAGGGCGCGUAGGCGGCCCUCUUGGUCGUGGGUGAAAUCCCCCAGCUCAACUGGGGAAGGUGCUUACGAUACCGGGGGGCUCGAGGGAGGAAGGGGCGGCCGGAACUGUCGGUGGAGGCGGUGAAAUGCGUUGAUAUCGACAGGAACGCCGGUGGCGAAAGGCGGGGGCCGCUGGCCCUCUUCUGACGCUGAGGCGCGAAAGCCAGGGGAGCGAACGGGAUUAGAUACCCCGGUAGUCCUGGCCUUAAACGAUGGGCACUAGGUAGUGGGCUCGACCUGGGCGCACUGCCGCAGCGAAAGUCAUUAGUGCCCCGCCUGGGGAGUAUGGUCGCAAGGCUGAAACUCAAAGGAAUUGACGGGGCUCACACAAGCGGUGGAGCAUGUGGCUUAAUUCGAGGCUACGCGGAGAACCUUACCCAGGCUUGACAUGUGCGAAAGCGCCUGGUGUACUUUACCGAAAGGUAGAGGAACCCGCAAGGGGGGGACCAGGUACAGGUGCUGCAUGGCUGUCGUCAGCUCGUGUCGUGAGAUGUCGGGUUAAGUCCCAUAACGAGCGAACCCUUGCCCUUAGUUGCCACCCUCACGGGGCACUCUAGGGGGGACUGCCGGUGUCAAACCGGAGGAAGGCGGGGACGACGUCAAGUCCUCAUGGCCCUUACGCCUGGGGCUGCACACGUGCUACAAUGCGGCCGACAGAGGGACGCCAGCGCGCAAGCGUGCGCCAAUCCCAAAAAAGGCCGCCAGUUCAGAUCGCGGGCUGCAACCCGCCCGCGUGAAGCCGGAAUCGCUAGUAAUCGCGGAUCAGCGACGCCGCGGUGAAUGUGUUCCUGAGCCUUGUACCACCGCCCGUCAAGCCACGAAAGGGGGGGAGCGCCCGAAGUCGCCCUUCAACAAGGCGCCGAAGGCGAGACCCCUGAUUGGGACU
rnacentral:rRNA from 1 species